AUACAUUAUGCACCUAAAGCUUGUUGAUAUUGCAGGUUAGUGAGCUUACCAAUCUGCCAAUGCCGACCAACAAAAGCAUUGUAUAAGUUAAAUGUAUCUUUAGAGCGGCUUUGAUUCAUUAUUAAGAAACAAAAUAAUCAAAAAAUCAUUUAUCAAUAGAGGUUUCGCAGGACUGAUUUCCAAUUCUUCUCACAAUGCCUUUUCGCUAGUGUAUUCGUACGGUCUUACUACUUACUGAAUACAGCGCGAAACACCGCAAAGAGCGCAAAACAGAGGGAAACAGCGUAAAACAG